UGCACCUUUUUCGCUAGUUUGCCAAACCGCCAUAAAACACCACAAGAAGAAGAAGACCCCGGUUCCGCGUCUGUCCUCUGAUCGAUCAAACAAAAUGACUGUAGAGGUUGAAAGAAAAUUCGUUUGUGAUGCAGAAAUUAUGGAGAAACUACAGGAUAUUGGAGCUAAAUGCAUUGGUCAGCGGCAGUUCCGAGACCAGUAUUUUGACUCACCAGAUUUCAUCCUCACACUAAAAGAUUUCUGGCUGAGAUGCCGAGAGG